AGCAGCCGCGGUAAUUCCAGCUCCAAUAGCGUAUAUUAAAGUUGUUGCAGUUAAAAAGCUCGUAGUUGAAUUUCGGGAUUAAUAUGUUGGUCGUGCCUUGGUACGUACUGGCAUUAUUGGUUCCUACCUUCUGAAGAACCUCGAUGUCAUUAAUUUGGUGUCUUGGGGAAUCAGGACUGUUACUUUGAAAAAUUAGAGUGUUUAAAGCAGGCUCGCGCUUGAAUACAUUAGCAUGGAAUAAUGAAAUAGGACGUUUGAUUCUAUUUUGUUGGUUUCUAGGAUCGACGUAAUGAUUAAUAGGGAUAGUUGGGGGCAUUAGUAUUCAAUUGUCAGAGGUGAAAUUCUUGGAUUUAUUGAAGACUGACUACUGCGAAAGCAUUUGCCAAGGAUGUUUUCAUUAAUACAAGAACGAAAGUUAGGGGAUCGAAGACGAUCAGAUACCGUCGUAGUCUUAACCAUAAACUAUAGCCGACUAGGGAUCGGAUGAUGUUAAUUUU
rnacentral:rRNA from 1 species